rfam:Candidatus Pelagibacter ubique HTCC1062, complete genome.
UAAUUGAUAUCGGGAGAGACUAUUAAAUAAUAGCGCCGAAGGAGCAACCACCCCGGAAACUCUCAGGCAAAUGGACCGAUAACAAACA